rnacentral:rRNA from 1 species
GAUAUGGCUCAGAACGAACGCUGGCGGCGCGUUUAAGCAUGCAAGUCGAGCGGCAAGGGCCUUCGGGCCCCUAGAGCGGCGGACGGGUGAGUAACACGUGGACAAUCUGCCCCCCGGCCCGGGAUAGCCCAGGGAAACCUGGAUUAAUACCGGAUGAGACGGGACCCGCGAUGGCGGGAUCCGGGAAAGGCGCUGCGGCGCCGCCGGGGGAUGAGUCUGCGUCCCAUUAGCUGGACGGCGGGGUAACGGCCCACCGUGGCGACGAUGGGUAGCCGGCCUGAGAGGGUGGACGGCCACAUUGGAACUGAGACACGGUCCAGACUCCUACGGGAGGCAGCAGCUAAGAAUCUUCCGCAAUGGACGAAAGUCUGACGGAGCAACGCCGCGUGAGUGAAGAAAGGUUUUCGGAUCGUAAAACUCUGUUGUCAGAGAAGAACAAGUUGGAGAGUAACUGCUCCAGCCUUGACGGUAUCUGACCAGAAAGCCACGGCUAACUACGUGCCAGCAGCGGC